rnacentral:lncRNA from 1 species
UUCUGUGAAAAAACCGGGCCGGUUAGCUUCAGGCAACACACCUUCAUUCCCCAACAUAAAAACAACUGUUGACAUGCUUGGCCUAUCCCCUGGACAUUUUUGCAUGCAUAGCAGACCCACAUGAAUUGAUCUUAGCGCUUCGUUCAAGUAUUGUGAAUCAGCUGGACAAGCGUCUACUAGUUCCUUUGACCUUCCUUCUUUGUAAAGUAUCCAAGCCUGUAUCAGUUGGAUUAUGCUAUGAGGAUCUUGAUUUAUAAAACUAUUAAUGAUAGUAAUUACAAGCGCUGUACAUUUUUUUUCACUUACAACACACAUCAAUACAUGUAAGACAAAAAUACUUACAUGUCCAAGAAGGUUGAGAUGGUGAUCACUAUGAGAAAAUCCCCAAUUUUUCUUUCCACUCACAAUUUCUAGCACUAAAACACCGAAACUAAAUACAUCUGAUUUUAAAGAGAAUAUGCCUUCCACUACAUAUUCUGGCGACAUGUAACCGUUGCAUGAAAACGUAAACAAGAAAUAAUGUCAUAAGUAAUGGAAAUGCAUUAGAUAUAUUGUCUCAUAGAGAUUAAUUCUUACUGUGUUCCCACAACCCGACCAGUCUUAGCUCCAGUCUCAUUCCCACUAAAACUUCUAGCCAAGCCAAAAUCUGAUAUCC